rnacentral:sRNA from 1 species
ACGAUCGAUAAAACAGGUAUCGAUCGUUGUUAUCGAUCGUUUAUGGUGGUUAAUGGUCUGCGAAAAGGCAGCUGAAUCUCUUCAUCAUGCAGAACGGAAUUGCACACAACGGACUGAUACUUCUCUGGCGGAUGAGAGAGGGGAAGCAUUUAUGUCCGGGAAAAACCACUUUAUCUGACCAUGCUGUUUUGUACCUGCCGGUAUCCACAUUUGUGGGUACCGGCUUUUUUAUUCACC